rnacentral:rRNA from 1 species
AACGAACGCUGGCGGCGUGCCUAACACAUGCAAGUCGAACGGAAUUGAGGGGCUUGCUCUUCAAUUUAGUGGCGCACGGGUGAGUAACGCGUGGAUAAUCUGCCUGACGAUCUGGGAUAACAUCUCGAAAGGGGUGCUAAUACCGGAUAAGCCCACGGGAACUGCGGUUUUUGCGGGAAAAGGGGGGGACCUUUUGGCCUUCUGUCGUCAGAUGAGUCCGCGUACCAUUAGCUAGUUGGUAGGGUAAAGGCCUACCAAGGCUACGAUGGUUAGCUGGUUUGAGAGAAUGAUCAGCCACACUGGAACUGAGACACGGUCCAGACUCCUACGGGAGGCAGCAGUGGGGAAUUUUGCGCAAUGGGCGAAAGCCUGACGCAGCAACGCCGCGUGAGUGAUGAAGGCUUUCGGGUCGUAAAGCUCUGUCAGAGGGAAAGAAGUGUAUUGUGGCUAAUAUCCGCGAUACUUGACGGUACCCUCAAAGGAAGCACCGGCUAACUCCGUGCCAGCCGCCGCGGUAAGAC